rnacentral:misc_RNA from 1 species
AAAAAAAAAAAAAGAAGGGAAAAGAAAGCUGCUUAUCAAGACUCUAUUAUGAUGGAACAAAGGUUGAAAGUCAGAUGCCAACUUUUUUACGCUUUUAGACGUCAAAAAUAUAUUUUGAUUGAAAGAAUAAUUUAUGACCCAAAUAUGCUGUAGCGUAAUAAAGGAAUAGGGCCACUAUAUCUCUAAUAGUAGCAAGCCCUUUUUCUAAGUAAUUAAUUAUGAAAUAACUGCAUUAUGAAAGCCGUGAUUUGAACAU